AUGGGCGGUUGGGUGGGCAGUUGAAUGGUUGACGGGUAGCUGUGUGGCGGGAGAAGUGGCUGGCUGAGCGGCUAAACGCGCAGGAAUGGGGGGAGCGGGCAGGUGCCUGACUGUGUGGUUGGAGGGGCGGCUGCAUGGCGGGAGAGGCUUAGUGCAAGAGAUGAGCACAAAAGUCUUCAGACUGAUCACGAGAAAAGAUCAGAGUUCAAAUGAUGGUGAGGCCAGAGGGGAUCUGAUGACUCUGCAUUGAUACAUUUCUAUGCAGAGCAACAUAACCACCAAAAAUUCAGUGUAAAGCAAUCCAGUCAUUAUCGACAAGCAGGCCAAGACCCUGGAAGCAGUCGAUGGUCAUCUGUAUGGCUUGGAUGGCCUCCUCGUGAGUCUGUGCUUUGAGCAGGCAAUCAUCCAGUUGCCAGUGUAUGGAUGUGUAGGGAUCUCAGCAUCGCUCUGGAAUCCUUCAUGGUAUGCCGCACCUUGUUGGUCUUUACUGCAAAUAACUUUCUGCCAUCGAAGGGGAGAUCCUCCAUGGUGUUUUGCAUCUCACAUGGGAAAGAAGAGGAGGAAAACCAUGAAGCUCGACGCAUAAUGACGGCUGUCACAGUGGACCUGGCAGCUGUGUCCACAGCACUGAGGACAGCCUGUAGCGCCGUGCGGGAAAUAAUCUGCCCUUCAGAGACUACUGCUUUGAAUUGUUGUCUCGUCUUCUAGGAUGUCAUUAAUAAAGUCCAUGGAUUUCCCGUAA